rnacentral:tRNA from 1 species
GCUCGGAUGGCGGAAUUGGCAGACGCGCUAGACUUAGGAUCUAGUGCCGCAAGGCGUGUGGGUUCGAGUCCCUCUCCGAGCA